rnacentral:rRNA from 1 species
UACGUAGGAGACGAGCGUUGUCCGGAAUUACUGGGCGUAAAGCGCGUGUAGGCGGAUGGGCAAGUCUGCUGUGAAAGCUCCUGGCUUAACCGGGAGUGGUCGGUGGAAACUGCCAAUCUGGAGGACGGUAGAGGUAGGUAGAAUUCCCGGUGUAGUGGUGAAAUGCGUAGAGAUCGGGAGGAAUACCUGUGGCGAAGGCGGCCUACUGGGCCGGACCUGACGCUGAGACGCGAAGGCGUGGGGAGCGAACGGGAUAGAAA